rnacentral:rRNA from 1 species
UACGUAGGUGGCAAGCGUUGUCCGGAAUUAUUGGGCGUAAAGCGCGCGUAGGCGGCCCCGUAAGUCCGCUGUGAAAGUCAAAGGCUCAACCUUUGAAAGCCGGUGGAUACUGUGGGGCUAGAGUCCGGAAGAGGCGAGUGGAAUUCCUGGUGUAGCGGUGGAAUGCGCAGAUAUCAGGAGGAACACCAAUAGCGAAGGCAGCUCGCUGGGACGGUACUGACGCUAAGGCGCGAAAGCGUGGGGAGCGAACAGGA